rnacentral:rRNA from 1 species
UUGCAGUUAAAAAGCUCGUAGUUGGAUUUUGGGAGUGAGCACGCUGUCGGCUUCGGUCGAACGGCGUGGCCGCUCUCUUUCUUCUGGGGACUGCUUCGUUAAUUCGGAGUAGGACGCAGAUCGUUUACUGUGAAAAAAUUAGAGUGUUCAAAGCAGGCAACCGCUUGAAUACAUUAGCAUGGAAUAAUGGAAUAGGACGUCGGGCCUAUUUUGUUGGUUUCUGGGACCGUCGUAAUGAUUAAUAGGGACAGUUGGGGCCGUUUAUAUUCCGUAGUCAGAGGUGAAAUUCUUGGAUUUACG